rnacentral:tRNA from 1 species
GGGCGGGUAGCUCAGUUGGUAGAGCACCUGCGUCACAUGCAGGGGGUCUCAGGUUCGAGUCCUGUUCCGCCCACCA